UACGUAGGGGGCAAGCGUUGUCCGGAUUUAUUGGGCGUAAAGCGCUCGUAGGUGGUCCGCUGCGUCGUGCGUGAAAGACCCCGGCUCAACUGGGGGGCGUCGUGCGAUACGGUCGGACUGGAGGCCAGUAGGGGGAUGCGGAAUUCCGGGUGUAGUGGUGGAAUGCGUAGAGAUCCGGAGGAACACCAGCGGCGAAGGCGGCAUCCUGGACUGGUCCUGACACUCAUGAGCGAAAGCGUGGGGAGCGAUCCGG
rnacentral:rRNA from 1 species